UUACGGCCAUAUAAUGUUGAAACACCAAGUCCCGUACGAUCACCGAAGUUAAGCAACGUCGGGCCUGGUUAGUAUCUAGAUGGGUAACUUUUGGAAAUACCAGGUGUUGUAAG